rnacentral:rRNA from 1 species
GACGAACGCUGGCGGCGUGCUUAACACAUGCAAGUCGAACGGAAAGGCCUGCUUUCCCUUGUGGAUUGCGGGUACUCGAGUGGCGAACGGGUGAGUAACACGUGAGUGAUCUGCCCCCAACUUGGGUAUAAGCCUGGGAAACUGGGUCUAAUUCCCGAUAGGACUGCAGGGUGGUGCCUGUGGUGGAAAACGAUUUUCUAGUGGUUGGGGAUGAGCUCGCGGCCUAUCAGCUUGUUGGUGGGGUAAUGGCCUACCAAGGCGGCGACGGGUAGCCGGCCUGAGAUGGUGGACGGCCACAGUGGGACUGAGAUACGGCCCAGACUACUACGGGAGGCAGCAGUGGGGAAGAUUGCACAAUGGGCGGAAGCCUGAUGCAGCGACGCCGCGUGGGGGAUGACGGCCUUCGGGUUGUAAACUCCUUUCGACCGCGAGGAAGCCACCUGGUUGGAAGGGUGGUGACGGUAGUGGUAGAAGAAGCACCGGCUAACUACGU